UCGAACGGCGCCGGGAGCAAUCCUGGUGGCGAGUGGCGAACGGGUGAGUAAUAUAUCGGAACGUGCCCAGUCGUGGGGGAUAACGCAGCGAAAGCUGUGCUAAUACCGCAUACGAUCUCUGGAUGAAAGCGGGGGACUCAGCAAUGAGCCUCGCGCGAUUGGAGCGGCCGAUAUCAGAUUAGCUAGUUGGUGGGGUAAAAGCUCACCAAGGCGACGAUCUGUAGCUGGUCUGAGAGGACGACCAGCCACACUGGAACUGAGACACGGUCCAGACUCCUACGGGAGGCAGCAGUGGGGAAUUUUGGACAAUGGGCGAAAGCCUGAUCCAGCAAUGCCGCGUGCAGGAUGAAGGCCUUCGGGUUGUAAACUGCUUUUGUACGGAACGAAACGGCUCACUUUAAUACGGUGGGCUAAUGACGGUACCGUAAGAAUAAGCACCGGCUAACUACGUGCCAGCAGCCGCGGUAAUACGUAGGGUGCGAGCGUUAAUCGGAAUUACUGGGCGUAAAGCGUGCGCAGGCGGUUAUGCAAGACAGAUGUGAAAUCCCCGGGCUCAACCUGGGACCUGCAUUUGUGACUGCAUAGCUAGAGUACGGUAGAGGGGGAUGGAAUUCCGCGUGUAGCAGUGAAAUGCGUAGAUAUGCGGAGGAACACCGAUGGCGAAGGCAAUCCCCUGGACCUGUACUGACGCUCAUGCACGAAAGCGUGGGGAGCAAACAGGA
rnacentral:rRNA from 1 species